ACCCUUCCAGAAAGGGGACGGCUAAUUACGUGCCAGCAGCCGCGGUAAUACGUAUGUCCCGAGCGUUAUCCGGAUUUAUUGGGCGUAAAGCGAGCGCAGACGGUUUAUUAAGUCUGAUGUGAAAGCCCGGAGCUCAACUCCGGAAUGGCAUUGGAAACUGGUUAACUUGAGUGCAGUAGAGGUAAGUGGAACUCCAUGUGUAGCGGUGGAAUGCGUAGAUAUAUGGAAGAACACCAGUGGCGAAGGCGGCUUACUGGACUGCAACUGACGUUGAGGCUCGAAAGUGUGGGUAGCAAACAGGAUUAGAUACCCUGGUAGUCCACACCGUAAACGAUGAACACUAGGUGUUAGGAGGUUUCCGCCUCUUAGUGCCGAAGCUAACGCAUUAAGUGUUCCGCCUGGGGAGUACGACCGCAAGGUUGAAACUCAAAGGAAUUGACGGGGACCCGCACAAGCGGUGGAGCAUGUGGUUUAAUUCGAAGCAACGCGAAGAACCUUACCAGGUCUUGACAUCCUUUGAAGCUUUUAGAGAUAGAAGUGUUCUCUUCGGAGACAAAGUGACAGGUGGUGCAUGGUCGUCGUCAGCUCGUGUCGUGAGAUGUUGGGUUAAGUCCCGCAACGAGCGCAACCCUUAUUGUUAGUUGCCAGCAUUCAGAUGGGCACUCUAGCGAGACUGCCGGUGACAAACCGGAGGAAGGCGGGGACGACGUCAGAUCAUCAUGCCCCUUAUGACCUGGGCUACACACGUGCUACAAUGGCGUAUACAACGAGUUGCCAGCCCGCGAGGGUGAGCUAAUCUCUUAAAGUACGUCUCAGUUCGGAUUGUAGUCUGCAACUCGACUACAUGAAGUCGGAAUCGCUAGUAAUCGCGGAUCAGCACGCCGCGGUGAAUACGUUCCCGGGUCUUGUACACACCGCCCGUCACACCAUGGGAGUUUGUAAUGCCCAAAGCCGGUGGCCUAACCUUUAGGAAGGAGCCGUCUAAGCAGACAGUACUAAU
rnacentral:rRNA from 1 species